rnacentral:rRNA from 1 species
CCUACGGGUGGCAGCAGUGGGGAAUAUUGGGCAAUGGGCGCAAGCCUGACCCAGCAACGCCGCGUGAAGGAAGAAGGCUUUCGGGUUGUAAACUUCUUUUAAGAGGGAAGAGCAGAAGACGGUACCUCUUGCAUCAGCCACGGCUAACUACGUGCCAGCAGCCGCGGUCAUACGUAGGUGGCAAGCGGUGUCGGGAUGUAAUGGGUGUAACGGGCGUGUAGCCGGGCUGAGAAGUCAGAUGUGAAAUCCCGUUGCUAAACCACGGAACUGCAUUUGCAACUGUCGGUCUUGAGUAUCGGAGAGGCAGGCGGAAUUCCUGGUGUAGCGGUGAAAUGCGUAGAUAUUAGGAGGAACACCAGUGGCGAAGGCGGCCUGCUGGACGACAACUGACGGUGAGGCGCGAAGGCGUGGGGAGCAAACAGGAUUAGAUACCCGGGUAGUC